ensembl:lncRNA
GGGUGAGGCCCGAAGUAGGGCCUAAGGCGCAUGCUCACUAUCUGGCUGGAGCGAGCCUAGCUCAUUGCGCCUGCGUCCUGGCGUCUUCCUAAGCAAAGGCAGGUGAAUUAGCUUGUUGGAGGUCCUUCCGCCGCCGUUGAGAAAGUUAAGGGCUUCGAAUUAAACAAGCAACCGCUCACCUAGUCCUUCCACAUUAUUAAUGGACAUGCCGGUGCUAGAUGAAGGGAUGAAACGAGAGCCAUACCCAAGCUCUACAAAUAUGUGGUGGCUUGCCCUGAGCCCAGGGCAUUUCUAUCUAACUCUCCCUAAGCCUACACCUGGAAGCUCCUUGCCUCCAUGCAGUCUAAUCUUCUGCGAGCCUGGACCUUGAAGGCUUCAGCUUCCAGCCUUCAUCUGUUGACCCAGGUCUAGGAUGUUGCAGCCUCCAAGACUUACUGCCAAAUAUCUCACUCUAGUUCCUUCCGAGCACUGGCUGGCAGGUUCAGUUGAGCUGUUCUGACCCAGCUAGUCAGCUGUCUUCUCUCAGCUCCUGACUGAAUUGCUCUGCUUGGAAAACCUGCCUCUGAACUCCACAAAACCGACCUGCUUUGAACACAACUUCUCUGUUCUGAGUUGAACUGAUCUCAACUGCACUAAACUGAACUGCCCAGACUGAAUUAAAUUCAGUUGACUCUCUCUCCCUCACUGCUUUUUUUUUUUUUUCUUUUUUUUCGGAGCUGGGGACCGAACCCAGGGCCUUGCUCUUGCUAGGCAAGCGCUCUACCACUGAACUAAAUCCCCAACCCCCCUCAUUGCUUUUUUAAGUAGCCUCUCUUUCCUGUCUGUUCUGUGAGAGUUGGGCAUAUCCUAUCUCUGACUCAUUCUAUCAAAUCUUUUUCUGAUUCAACACUUUGUCUGCCCCUCAAUUAGACAUCAUUGUUUAGGAUUAAAGGUGUGUACCAAAGGCCUGUCUGUAUUCCAGCCAGAGGGAUCAAAGGUGUGUACUAAGGGCAUGUCUGUAUUCUAGCUGGAUCAUAUCUUUGGAUGUGAUCCCUUACCAGAGCAACCAUGUUGCUGGAAUAAAAGUCAUGUGCAAGAAUUACUGGGGCCAUGGACCUAACAAGAGCACCACAGAGGUGAUGUAUCCCUCAGUGCACAUAUUAAGUGACAGAUGCGUCAUCAUUGCUUGUCCGUGACUUGAGAUGCAGGACCUGGAGUUUUCCUGUGAUUGUUUUACUCUGUGUAAUUGGUGUUCAGAUUAGUAAUUAACAAUUUGGAGAUUCUGGUUAAACUAGGCAAAUGUUUCUCCUCAAACUUUUAGCACCUAAUUUGACAUCCAUCAAUUUUUCACUUGUCCACCAAAGUCUUGCCAUCGAAUAAUUGUGAUGAAUUGUACGAGUGGCAGAUUUUCUAUUUCUUCCCAUCCUAUAAUUGUGUGAGGAAGAGCCACAUUUGGCUAAUGUGUUUAUUUAGCCAACUAAUGGACUCACCUGCAACCACUUUGGCAUGCCCUUUACUACUAACACUACAAACUUUCCAAACUUUUAUAUUUUUAUUCUUUAAAAUUAUUUAAUUUUAAUGGUUACUUUUAGGGGCCUUGUCUGCUAAUUACAGUAUCUGUAUCAUCUCAGAAUUGGCUUUGUUCGACUUCACUUUCUGCAGAUGGAAUGAAUGCCUUGCUCUUUUGAAGCCUUUGUGUAGGUAGAGUGGUCGUUUUGCUGUAUGUGGCAGGCAGCUUUGAGCUUCAGCUUGGCAUGAGCUAGCGUCAAGCCUGACUGAAGGCUCCCUAAGGUCAAGCUGUGAGAGCCUGUGGGGAAUCCUUCUGGUUGCCUUUCUGAACCCGAGUUAGAAGAUUCACUCUGAAUGCAGACGAUACCGUUUCAUAGGCUGGACCCCAAACCACAUAAGAGUGAAGCAGGCCAGCUGAGCAGAAGCAGACAGCAUGGUUGUGUUUGUUCCUCUCCACUCUUGACAUGAUAUAACUUAGGCUCUGAGUCCUUCUGCCUUGGCUCCCCCCAGGGAUAAAUGGAAACCUGGAAUUAUAAACUGAAUAAACCCUUUCUCCCCUAAGUUGAUUUGGUCAGUGCAGUAGUUUGACUAGAAAUGCCCCCAUAGAUUCAUGUGUUUGAUUGCUUGGCCAUAGGGAGUGGUGCCAUUAGGAGGUGUGGCAAUAUUUUUUGUCAUGGUGGAGGUGAGGCUCUGAAUGUGCCAGUGUGACACACACAGUCUACUCCUGCUGUCUGCAGAUCAAGAAGUAGAACUCUCAUCUCCUUCUCCAGCACCACGUCUGCCUGCACUCUGCUUCCUGCCAUGAUGACAAUGGACUGAACCUCUGAACCUGUAAGCCAGCCCCAAUUAAACGUUGGACUUAUAAGAGUUGCCUUGUCUCUUCACAGCAAUACAAUCCUAACUAAGACAGUCAGGGUGUUCAUCACAGCAACAAAAUUAAAGAAAGACAUCGCAUUGUAUGUGAUAUGUGGAGACCAGAGUGUGUCACUGUCCUUCAACUGUUGAUUUUUGCCUGCUGUCACCUCUCAUUUUGAUUCUCUGUUUCAGUGAAGGAUUUGAUGAAUCUUACAUUUUAAACUAUGGGAUGAGGGGCUAUUCCGGGAGCCUGGAAUGUUGCUAAGCAAGUACCACUGAGCUAGGUACACCCUCAGCCCUUGACAAGGUAAACAUCAUGGGGCUAACUAUGGCCUUCCACCCUCUAAGAUUCCCUACUCAACACCCAUUUCAAUAUUCUCCUACCCCAACCUCUGCCCCCUGACUACUAAAACCUAUUGAAGUUUUGUUUUCUGCUGUGGGAUGUCCCCAGGACAGGCAUAAAUACAAAUACAAUAAUAUAUACAAUAUAUAAAAUACACACACACACACACACAAUUCCCAGUUGAGUUGGCCGAUUUUAUUUUUUUAACUGUGGAAUAAGUACUAAACCUAGAGCCUGGACUAUUGCUAAGCAAGUAUCUAUGUACAUGAGUAUAUGUAUGUUAUACAUAUAAGUAAAUGUAUAUGUGUGUAUAUGUAUGUGCACAUACAUGUAUACUACAAUAAAUACAAACCCCACCUGUGCUAUUCCUUCUC